AGGGCUGUAGUUGAGUGGCAAGCACAUACUUUGUAUGCAUAAGGCCCCAGGUUUAAUCCUUGGCAUCUCUA